rnacentral:rRNA from 1 species
AGCUCCAAUAGCGUAUAUUAAAGUUGUUGCAGUUAAAAAGCUCGUAGUUGGAUUUCUGGCAGAGUGUCCUCCGUCCAGCAGUUCGUUUGGUUCGGAGCGCUCUACCAUCCUUCUGUUAACCUUUCCGGGAUUUACUUUUCGGGCUGGGGCUCAGAUAUUUUACCUUGAGAAAAUUAGAGUGUUUCAGGCAGGCUAUUCGCCGGAAUACAUUAGCAUGGAAUAAUGGAAAAGGACUGCAACCUCUUCUGUUGGUCUGGGAGGCUGAAGUAAUGAUUAAUAGGGAUAGUUGGGGGCAUUAGUACUUUCCAGUCAGAGGUGAAAUUCUCCAAUUUGGUAAAGACUAACUUAUGCGAAAGCAUUUGCCAAGGAUGUUUUCAUUA